GCCUGGCUGGCUCAGUCGGUUGAGCGUCCGACCUCAGCUCAGGUCAAGAUCUCACUGCUCGUGGGUUCGAUCCCCUCAUCGGGCU
rnacentral:tRNA from 1 species